CCGCUGUUUGGAGCGGGGCCUCCGGAUACCUGGAACGUGUUCAGGUUGCCGGACACGACCUUCGCGCCCAUUGUUGAGUCGGUGUCGGUGUA
rnacentral:tRNA from 1 species